rnacentral:ncRNA from 1 species
AAAAUUCUAAGACAAAUGAAAAAAGGUAAUUUCUAUUGAAAUAAUAUAGAAAUUGCCUUUUUCAUUAUCUAUAAGUAUUUUAAUGAAAAAUUACAUAUAAAUACGUAGUAUUUAUGGCAAGACUCCUGAGGGAACAGUACUAGUUGAAGACCUUAGAAAUUCUCACAGAUUUAUCUGUGUAGUAUUUCUGGCUGAAACUGUACCAUGGGAAGGGACCCAACACAGAGAAACUGAUUAAAUCAGUUUCUACAAGCAAAGCAAGUUGGGCAUAGCGAAGCCAUGCAAUACGAAGUAUUGGAUAUAAAGAAAGCACUAA